UACGUAGGGGGCGAGCGUUGUCCGGAAUUAUUGGGCGUAAAGAGCUCGUAGGCGGCUUGGCAAGUCACGUGUGAAAUCUCCAGGCUCAACCUGGCGAUGCCACGUGAUACUGCCAUGGCUUGAGUCCGGUAGGGGACCAUGGAAUUCCUGGUGUAGCGGUGAAAUGCGCAGAUAUCAGGAGGAACACCAGUGGCGAAGGCGGUGGUCUGGGCCGGUACUGACGCUGAGGAGCGAAAGCGUGGGGAGCGAACAGG
rnacentral:rRNA from 1 species